AUCAUUUUGCAUACUGAAAAAUAGUCCGCUUAAGUUUCAUGAAAUUUAUUGAAAAAUAGCACCAUUUCCAUACCGCCAUUUUGCACCUUAUAAUUUCUCUCCCACGAGACCAAACACGACGAGAAAGCCCUAAUCUCCAUCUCCUCUCCUCCUGAAGAUGACGACCCCACAACAAUAGCAAAAUUAACGCCGCCGGUUUUCUCACCCCUAAUGCACUCUAUCAGUAGUCGUCUAUCCGGCGUAAGUUUGUCCAUUUAAUAUUAAAUUUGCAAUUCUCUUUAGACCUUAAUCUUUAUCGAUACAACUCAUAGUCUGGAAGAUUUUACUUUAGGGUUCCUUCACUAAUCAAUUUCACGCUGAAGACUUAGCAUGUUUAAUAUGGCUAUCGAAGCCAAUCGGGCAAUCAAUCACACUUCUUCAUUUAAUCAAAUGCGAUUUCAAUUUUUCAAACUCACAAAACCCAUUUCAAUAUGAUUUGAACUCAUACAAACAGAGAAUUGAAGAGUCACACUCAUACAGAAGAGUUACUUUUAAAUAUAUGGACGUUGUUGCAGUUUCUAUUUCUUGUACACCAAAACCAUGAAAAGUGUUCUAUGUGAGUGAUCAGGUGUUACUUUUUGUGGUAGGAAUGAAUUGUAAAUCUCAACAACAGGAAGGUAUAUGGAAAAUCCGUCUGACCUCAUUAAUUUUUUGUUUUUCACAAUUUUUCUUUUGUUUUUUACAAUGCAUAGGACUACAGGAGUCCCAAGUCUUAUGGAAACAUGGUUGCGAAAUACUUAAUUUAUGGUCCUUGAGGAAAGCAGUAUAGGUAUUGUAAGCAUAUGGUAAAAGAGGUCGACUAGUGUAGCAAUAUCCCACAACAUUUUUUGGUAUGCUUUUUUAAUAAGCUUUACAAUUUUCAGUUGUUGAUGUUAUACAUUAUACUUAAUAAAGAGGUUUUAUCUGUUUUUGUUACUAACAAUCCUUUGACAAAGUUGCCCCCUCAUUCUUCAAGAAAAGAAUCCAAUUGGUAUAUUGGUAUGCUUUUUAUUAAGCUUCCGUUUUAAGUGGUGACCAGUGUAGCAUCAUACUUCCAUUUGUUAUGCUUUUAUUUUUUUUCAAUGUAUUUGUUGGUUUAACAUUUUUUUUUCAAUUUAUUUAUAAUCCUAUUUUAAUUUUAUAUCUAGUAUUGGUUUAGUUAUUUUUUCA